UUGACAUCGUUGAUUCUUUGACCUAAUUUAGUGAUUAAGGUUAAGGGGGGAUGCCUCCUCCCCUGGGAUUGCUUGUAAUUAAGUUCCGAACUUAUUCAUAACCAGUACAACAAGUUGAUUAACAAGUCCCAUCAUACCCAUCCCCUUUA
rnacentral:sRNA from 1 species